GCAUUAUAUUUGUCAUUUUCAAGCAAGUAUUUAAUAUUAUGUAACUAAUCAUUUUUUGAAAUUAUAGAGGGAGAAAAAAUUAAUUGUUGAAAAUGAGAAAGUUGAUAAAUUGAUACUUUGGCGUAAAACACGCGAGGACAAAUCUGACAACAUAACAAAUAUGGAGAUAGCAGAAGUCGUUGAAAAAAUUAUAAAUAUUUUUUUAUCUAAUUUCCAUAUUUCCUUGCUAAAUAAUAUUGGAAUUUUUGGAUUGAUUUGUUACAAUCCCAUAUUGUAGGAUAACUUGUUGGAAAAGAAAGUCAAAGGAGAGUUCAAAUCUCAAUUAUUUGAAUACUUAUAAGAAUGUUUUAAAAUAUUGUAGAAAAAUGUGCAACAUCAAUUAUUUUUUCCUUCGGAUGUUCAUGGUCAUCAAGACAAGUACAAGGAAAUUAAAAAAACAUUGCCGAUGGCAUGCAAGUAUAUCUACUCGUAUGUUAUCAGAUUGAUGCAUGAAGAUGAGAGUAUACACAUAGAAUUUGAUGAAGCUAUGUUUGGACGUCUUAAAAGUGUAUGGUUGCUAAGAGAAGAUAUCUUACGCUUUAUAGAGAUGAAAGAGAUAGGUGUCAAACAAAUUUUGAUUUACAUGGCAUGUUACCUUUACAAAUACUUGAAGAAAGAAAAAAGAGCUAAGUAUGUGUCAUUUGUGGAUCUUGGUCACAUACCUACAUGCGGUGUGGGUGAAGAAGGCAGUAAAUUGUCAUAACAUAUUGCUGCUCAAUUGAGAGCAUCGAACAGAGAUAGCAGAAAUUGUCCCAUAUAACAUUGGGUACCAUUGGAUCUUGACUAUAAUUAAUGAAGAUAAGAAUAUGAUAUAUUUAUUGAACUCUUUGAGUAAUAGGAACCGAGACUUUGCUUGGCAAACUAUUGUGACCAAUGGGGUCAAGAUAUACAAUGCAUCAAGGAGUAUUUCAAAAGGACCAGGUUUUAAACAAUUGACAGUAUGUAUUGUGACUAUGUAUUUAGACAAUAAUUAAUAAUUUUUAUUUUUUGGAUUGUGACUUCUUGCAUGACAUUUUCAAUUUCAUUAUGGUAAUGUUAAACAAAAUGGUGGUGUUGAAUGUGAAUAUUGUGUGAUGCGGUACAUGAAAGAGAUAGUGUUGGAUGAAGAUCCACAAUUGGAGAGAAAGUUUGCAGCAUCAAAAAAUAAACAGUAUUACAAUCAAUCUCAGUAUGAUGAAGUCAGAAGUGAAUGGAGCGAAUUCGUCUACUUCUAUGUGGGUGUCUAAGUGUAGACUAUGAUAUAAAUUUUAGACAUGUAUUUAGAGAUUUAUGGAUACAAAAGUUUUUGGGUUAUAGUUAAACAUGUCUUUUAUGAAUA